GAGUUUGAUCCUGGCUCAGAUUGAACGCUGGCGGCAUGCCUUACACAUGCAAGUCGAACGGCAGGCACGGGAGCUUGCUCCUGGUGGCGAGUGGCGAACGGGUGAGUAAUGCAUCGGAACGGUAUCCUGGAGUGGGGGAUAACGUAGCGAAAGUUACGCGUAAUACCGCAGUAUUCUGUGAGCAGGAAAGCGGGGGACCUUCGGGCCUCGCGCUCUUGGAGCGGCCGAUGUCGGAUUAGCUAGUU
rnacentral:rRNA from 1 species